rnacentral:rRNA from 1 species
CCUACGGGAGGCAGCAGUGGGGAAUAUUGGUCAAUGGGCGCUAGCCUGACCCAGCCACGCCGCGUGAAGGAAGACGGCUUUCGGGUUGUAAACUUCUUUUAAGAGGGGAGAGCAGAAGACGGUGCCUCUUGAAUAAGCCACGGCUAACUACGUGCCAGCAGCCGCGGUAAUACGGAGGUGGCAGGCGUUGUCCGGAUUUCGUGGGUGUAAAGGGAGUGCAGCCGGGAAGUAAAGUCAGAUGUGAAAUCCCGCGGCUCAACCGCGGAACUGCAUUUGAUACUGUUAUUCUUGAGUACCGGAGAGGUCAGCGGAAUUCGUGGUGUAGCGGUGAAAUGCGUAGAUAUAAGGAAGAACACCAGUGGCGAAGGCGGAUGACUGGACGGCAACUGACGGUGAGGCGCGAAAGCGUGGGGAGCAAACAGGAUUAGAUACCCCUGUAGUC